rnacentral:tRNA from 1 species
UUAUAAGUUGGCCUAAUGGAUAAUGCGCCUGACUUCGGAUCAGAAGAUUGAGGGUUCGAGUCCCUUCGUGGUCG